rnacentral:rRNA from 1 species
UCUCCGCCAGAGAACUACAAGUGAAAAACUUGAAACUCAAAGGACUUGACGGUAUCCCAUAUCGACCUAGAGGAGCCUGUCCUAUAAUCGAUACCCCUCGCUUCACCCCACCCUAACUAGCACACAUUAUCAGCCUAUAUACCGCCGUCGAUCAGCCUACCCUAUGAAGGUCUAAUAGUAGACACAAUAGCCCAACCGCUAAUACGUCAGGUCAAGGUGUAGCAAAUGUUAGGGAAGAGAUUGGCUACAUUUUUUAUGAUAAAAAACACGAAAAGUAUUAUGAAACAUUACAUGAAGGUGAAUUUAGUAGUAAAAUAGAUAAGAGAGUCUAUUUUAACAACGCUCUGGGAUGCGUACACACCGCCC